rnacentral:tRNA from 1 species
UGUGGGAUGCCGGAGUAACGGAGUGCUUUGAUAAGGCGCGCAUGUGUAAUUACACUCCCAUAA